GUGCUCGCUUCGGCAGCACAUACAUUAAAUUGGAAUGAUACAGAGAAGAUUAGCAUGGCCCCUGCACAAGGAUGACACCCAAAUUCGUGAAGCAUUCCAUAUAAAA